rnacentral:lncRNA from 10 species
GAAAAACUUGAAGCAGUGGAUGCGUAUUGGCCCUUACAGUUCUGCCACUUUUGUUGCCUUGUCUGUUCUUUCUCUGUGCUUUUUUUCCUUACCCUUCUGUUGAUAACUAGCCAAUCCUCUCCCUCUGUUUUCAUCUCUGAAGCCAGGAUGUAUGGUAGUAUUCGUUUUAUUGAGAUUCCCAUUUUCAUUGCCUCUAGGGAGCCUUACAGUAAGCUAUCAUGAAAAUUAAGGUAUUUACUAUUUUUUAAAUUAAUAGGACUUUCAAAAUUGCAGGUGAGGUUCAAAAUUUACAUGGAUUCUGGUUUGUCCCAUUUAGGCAUACCUUAUUCUCUCAUGUAUUUAUUAUAUAUCCAAUCCGAAAAAUGGAUUUCCCUAUGGCAAAUAGCUUUUCUAAAAAAUAAAUAAAUAAAUAAAAAGAAAGAGAAAGAUGAUGAGACCUAGAGAAUUUAGGUCUUGAAAAGCCCACACAGGUAAAAAGAAGAAGUGGCAGGAUGACUUUAACUCUGCUUUCUAUUAAAAUGUUUUUAGGGGCUUAAGAAAGGGAAAGCCUUUUCUUUUUCAUUUUUGUUGGGUACAGCUGAGGUUAGAGUUUGCCACAGUUAUCUGAAUUCCUCAAACUUAUGCCAUUUGUGGUAUAUAAUUUUGGAGAGCCACACACUCAACAUAUGUGGCUAACCUGGUCUCAUAAAUUGGCUAAGAAAAGAGAGAAAAAGAGAAGAUCAAAGGGCAUGGCAAAUUGAUUACAAUGAAUUGUGAACAACCUAAAAUGUUGCAUGUUGGGGAAAGAAUAAUUUAAAAGAGAAAAACAUAAUGGUACAAAAGAUAGGAAAAUAAGUGAUCUAGAUAAUUAAAUGUCUAUAUAAAGUCUUAGCCUCAUGACUGUUAUAUAUAUCAUAUAAAUUCUUUUCAUUUUGUUUUUCUGAAAGAUAUUUGACAACUCCUUAGUUUUAUGUAAAGGAUAAUAAAAAUAGGCAUUUAAAAGAGUUGGCAGACUGUGAUUUCCACAGAGAUAUGAGUAAAAUUUCUGAAUGUCAUUUAGGAAAAAUAUAUGAAAAACCUGGCA